GCUCAUACCAAAAUGUGAUAUUAGGACGCCAGGGGUAGAGGAUAGGAUGGCCUUUGCUCGGGAUGGAGAGUUCGUGAUUUUUAGGGACUCACUAAAGGGGGGAUUUAGAUGGCCUCUGCAUCCCUUUUUUGUGUCUUUAUUGGUUGAGCAUAACAUGAGCCCUGGACAGCUUGUGCCAAAUGGGUGGAGGAUGCUCACCUAUUUUUUAUAGCCUAUAGAUACCUAGGAAUUAACCCAUACGUCGAUCUCUGUAGAAUGGUCUUCGACCUGAAACAGUUACCUCAAUAUACCUGUUUUGCUUACCUUUCAUCCCGAGGAGGCUU
rnacentral:lncRNA from 1 species